rnacentral:lncRNA from 1 species
CUUGGGUGGCAGCAGUAAGUAAGCCUGUCUCUGUGAGGUUAAGCCAGCCUGGUCUACAGAGUGAGUUCUAAGACAUCCUUGACUACACAGAGAAACCUUGACUCAAAAAAAAUAAAUAAAUAAAUAAAAGAAGGAAGGAAGGAAACAGAAGAGAAAGGAAAAGAAAGGUGGAAGAGGAAAGGAAGGAAAGAAAGAAGAAAAGGAAGAAAACAUCAGCUCCAUGUUCCUGCUCCAGCCCCAGAAUUCCUGUGACAGACCUGGGCAUGUUGAUUAGAGGCAGAUUGGUAGGACAUUGUACUAAAGCCAUGGAGUGUGGAGAACUCAGGGACCUGUUACGUAGAAACUAGAGAGACAAGAAUGUUGAGAGCAGUGCAGACGACAGUGGCCCAGCUUGUGACGUUUCAGAGGGAAGCAAAGACUCUACCAGGCCAUUUGUGUGAAGAAUCUGUGGUUUAAAAUGAGCUCGAGCUGAAGAACCAGCUGUGAUAAACAAGAGACCAGAACUUUGUUCUUCCGGGACAGUGGCCGAUGGACUGCCCCCACAUCAUUGAGGUGAAAUCUUGUGGGAAGUGUUUCCUCAGGACCAACACACAAGAGAUGUAUGUCAGAGCUGGGCAAGGUUGUGCUGCCUCAUGCUGUCACCCAGGAAGAUCAGAGAACUAAAUUUAAAGUCUCAUCAGGACCCUGGACCCACUUCUGGAACCAAUGAUGGUAUCCACUAAGGAUUUGGUAAGAUGAUUGGACACUCUCAUGAGUUCUGGGGUUAAGUUUACUUAAGCCCCCUAUACCUACCUGCCUCU